rnacentral:rRNA from 1 species
AGAGUUUGAUCAUGGCUCAGAUUGAACGCUGGCGGAAUGCUUUACACAUGCAAGUCGAACGGUAGAGGGGCAACCCUUGAGAGUGGCGAACGGGUGAGUAAUAUAUCGGAACGUGCCCAGUCGUGGGGGAUAACGUAGAGAAAUUUACGCUAAUACCGCAUACGAUCUAAGGAUGAAAGCGGGGGAUCGCAAGACCUCGCGCGAUUGGAGCGGCCGAUAUCAGAUUAGGUAGUUGGUGAGGUAAAGGCUCACCAAGCCGACGAUCUGUAGCUGGUCUGAGAGGACGACCAGCCACACUGGGACUGAGACACGGCCCAGACUCCUACGGGAGGCAGCAGUGGGGAAUUUUGGACAAUGGACGCAAGUCUGAUCCAGCCAUUCCGCGUGCAGGAUGAAGGCCUUCGGGUUGUAAACUGCUUUUGUACGGAACGAAAAGGCUCUGAUUAAUACUCGGGGCUCAUGACGGUACCGUAA